UGGGGAAUAUUGCGCAAUGGGGGGAACCCUGACGCAGCCAUGCCGCGUGAAUGAAGAAGGCCUUAGGGUUGUAAAGUUCUUUCGGUAUUGAGGAAGGUUGAUGUGUUAAUAGCACAUCAAAUUGACGUUAAAUACAGAAGAAGCACCGGCUAACUCCGUGCCAGCAGCCGCGGUAAUACGGAGGGUGCGAGCGUUAAUCGGAAUAACUGGGCGUAAAGGGCACGCAGGCGGUUAUUUAAGUGAGGUGUGAAAGCCCCGGGCUUAACCUGGGAAUUGCAUUUCAGACUGGGUAACUAGAGUACUUUAGGGAGGGGUAGAAUUCCACGUGUAGCGGUGAAAUGCGUAGAGAUGUGGAGGAAUACCGAAGGCGAAGGCAGCCCCUUGGGAAUGUACUGACGCUCAUGCGCGAAAGCGUGGGGAGCAAACAGGAUUAGAUACCCUGGUAGUCCACGCUGUAAACGCUGUCGAUUUGGGGGUUGGGGUUUAACUCUGGCGCCCGUAGCUAACGUGAUAAAUCGACCGCCUGGGGAGUACGGCCGCAAGGUUA
rnacentral:rRNA from 1 species